rnacentral:rRNA from 1 species
UGGGGAAUUUUGGACAAUGGGCGAAAGCCUGAUCCAGCAAUGCCGCGUGUGUGAAGAAGGCCUUCGGGUUGUAAAGCACUUUUGUCCGGAAAGAAAUGGCUCUGGUUAAUACCUGGGGUCGAUGACGGUACCGGAAGAAUAAGGACCGGCUAACUACGUGCCAGCAGCCGCGGUAAUACGUAGGGUCCAAGCGUUAAUCGGAAUUACUGGGCGUAAAGCGUGCGCAGGCGGUUGUGCAAGACCGAUGUGAAAUCCCCGAGCUUAACUUGGGAAUUGCAUUGGUGACUGCACGGCUAGAGUGUGUCAGAGGGGGGUAGAAUUCCACGUGUAGCAGUGAAAUGCGUAGAGAUGUGGAGGAAUACCGAUGGCGAAGGCAGCCCCCUGGGAUAACACUGACGCUCAUGCACGAAAGCGUGGGGAGCAAGCAGGAUUAGAUACCCUGGUAGUCCACGCCCUAAACGAUGUCAACUAGUUGUUGGGGAUUCAUUUCCUUAGUAACGUAGCUAACGCGUGAAGUUGACCGCCUGGGGAGUACGGUCGCAAGAUUAAAAGCUCAAAUGAAUUGACGGGGUCAUAGCUGUUUUCCUG